GACGAACGCUGGCGGCGUGCUUAACACAUGCAAGUCGAACGGAAAGGCCCUGCUUUUGUGGGGUGCUCGCGUGGCGAACGGGUGAGUAACACGUGAGUAACCUGCCCUUGACUUUGGGAUAACUUCAGGAAACUGGGGCUAAUACCGGAUAGGAGCUCCUGCUGCAUGGUGGGGGUUGGAAAGUUUCGGCGGGUGGGGAUGGACUCGGGGCUUAUCAGCUUGUUGGUGGGGUAGUGGCUUACCAAGGCUUUGACGGGUAGCCGGCCUGAGAGGGUGACCGGCCACAUGAGUACUGAGGUACGGCCCAGACUCCUACGGUAGGCAGCAGGCGGGAAUAUUGCACAGUGAGCGGAAGCCUGAUGCAGCAACGCCGCGUGCGGGAUGACGUCCUUCUGGUGGUAAACCGCUGUCGCCUGUGACGAAGCGUGAGUGACGGUAAUGGGUAAAGAAGCACCGGCUAACUACGUG
rnacentral:rRNA from 1 species